AUUGACAGCGCUAUCUCUUUUCGUGUUCGCAUCAUCCUUGACUGAAGAACACCAAAAAUGGAAGAUAUGGUCGUCCUUCUCGCUUUAUAACGCCACAGCUGAUCAUCACGCAUGCGCUAGCAGACAGCGGUUUGUUUGCUUGAGCUGCUUGAGCAUGGCUUGAGGAUGAGAUUUGUGGUAGUGGUGAAGCAGCUUUGCCAAAUAUUCCGUUCAAGUUCCUCGCUGAAUGUUCGGCUCGUCCGUCGAUGUUCAACAGAUGCAACAACUGCCAGUCCACUUUUUCUUAGCUGCACCUUCUCAGUCCAGGCAGCAGCAGCACGAGGUGAAUGUAGGUACACAACUUCCAAGUGAAUUAAGACGCACCAGUGCAAUUCUGAAGCUGAUUUUCAGGCAUGGGGAGAAGAAAUGCAGGAUGCAGCCAUGAGUCAUUUUACUAAAGGCACAGGGGUAAAAAGAUUGAAAGAUGGAGGUUUAAAGUGUUAUUAUAUUUGUAACUGACCGGGUGCUUUUACAGAGAAGAACAUCAAAGCAAAAAGAUCCAUAAAAUCAUAAUUUUCCGUUAGGCGUGGGGUAACCUGCAUUGAUGAUUCGUCUACAACGUUCCAGACUGGCAAGGUCCCAGGACAUAACGGGACGUAUGCUCCGGGGCCCCCUACCAUCUCGCUCAUGAUCAGAGCCGACAAUUAAGGCAUAAUGGUUUCAAAUUUCCAAAGAUUGCAGUUCAGAAUUUGUAUGAGUGCAACACAACAGCGUGGACAGUGUACAGCCCGAGACAAAAGUUCACGGCACUGCGCUUUUCUUCAUCGGAGCGGUCCCCUGCCAGCUACCAGCAAAAGAUCGAAUAAGAAAUGGGUCUAUCUCUCAGUAUGUGCGUCCGCUCUUGUUUGAUGCUAGAGUGUCCACUCCAAUGGAGAAAUGUGACACCAUGGUGGUCCGUAAACAUUUGUACCAAGCUGUACAUUGUACAACCCCCGACAACUGACAAACACUGCUCGGUAAGGUCAGUGUUCCAAUUUGAGAUUUUGCUGCCUAUUUCUUCCCAAAAGGCUGCUCUUGCAAAAAUGCUUAAGAAAGUCAUUUGGGUGAACUCCAGGAUUCAAAGACAAGUGUAGGGCUUGAAAAAAUUUAUAGUUAGACUUUGAAGGCAGUAGUCAACAUAAAUAAGUUUUACCUCUAAGCAAUGAUUGCCCAUUCAAGGCAACAACAAACUCAUAGGUUCACCACAUCAUCUAAACGUCCUCGGUCUGUUACAGCUUGUUUCUGUCCACAACGACAUCUUCAAGGUGCAUAUCCUGUGCCACGCAACCAGAGGAAGGGGGGGGGGAAUAUGUUUAAUGCAAAGUAAGAAGGAAAGGGAAAGGUUAGCCACGGUGUGGGCUUGCUAUUCCCUAAUGCUUUCAAGCAAACAGAAGAAAA